GACGAACGCUGGCGGCGUGCUUAACACAUGCAAGUCGAGCGGUAAGGCCCUUUCGGGGGUACACGAGCGGCGAACGGGUGAGUAACACGUGGGUGACCUGCCCUCAGCUCUGGGAUAAGCCUGGGAAACCGGGUCUAAUACUGGAUAUGACUCCAUGACGCAUGUUGUGGGGUGGAAAGCCUUGUGCGGCUGAGGAUGGGCCCGCGGCCUAUCAGCUUGUUGGUGGGGGAUGGCCUACCAAGGCGACGACGGGUAGCCGGCCUGAGAGGGCGACCGGCCACACUGGGACUGAGACACGGCCCAGACUCCUACGGGAGGCAGCAGUGGGGAAUCUUGCGCAAUGGGCGAAAGCCUAACGCAGCGACGCCGCGUGAGGGAUGACGGCCU
rnacentral:rRNA from 1 species